rnacentral:lncRNA from 1 species
AGAAUUAUUAUGAAAAAGUUAAUUGACUAUGAAUUUUUGAAUAUUUUAACCUACAUGGCUACAUGGAAAAAUAUUUUUUUUGUUGAGGUUAAAGCUGGGUUAUUAUUUCACUAACUGUUGGUUCAUUGUCGGGUACUAUCUUUAUUAUCCAACUAAUAGAUUGAUUGGAUUUUAAUAGAUUUUAAGAUUAAAUUUAAAAUAUAAACCAAUUAAAUUUAUAAAAAAAAUAUUUUUAUUAUAUUUGUUAUUUACUUGUUAGAUUUAUAGAAUUACAGGAACUGUUUUGUGGACUGUUGUAAAAUUUCCACUCAUUAAGUUUAAUUGGCCAUAUGUACUUUUAUGUAUAUAAAGAAUCAAAGAUAAGUAUAGUUGUAAGAAGUGAUUAUAUUACUGAAGAUUUAACAGAUCCUGGAGUUUUGUUAAAAAAAGAUGCCAGUAUAUUAAAUCUAUUAUUGAUGUAUUAGCAAUGUAUCUUGGUAGGACUUGAAACCUGUUAAAUAAACAUUGUAACACAUCACAGCAAGUGAAUUCAGUACCA